rnacentral:rRNA from 1 species
GACGAACGCUGGCGGCGUGCCUAAUACAUGCAAGUCGAACGCAGUGGGGACGGGUGAGUAACACGUGGGUAACCUCCCAUCAGAGGGGAUAACACUUGGAAACAGGUGCUAAACCGAUACUGAUGGAUGGCUCCGCGGUGCAUUAGCUAGUUGGCGAGGGAACUGCUCACCAAGGCCAGGAUGCAUAGCGGACCUGGAAGGGUGGUCGGCCACAUGGGGACUGAGCCACGGCCCAGACUCCUACGUGAGGCAGCAGUAGGGAAUCUUCGGCAAUGGACGAAAGUCUGACCGAGCAACGCCGCGUGAGUGAAGAAGGUUUUCGAAGCGUAAAACUCUGUUGUUAGAGAAGCGGUAUCUAACCAGAAAGCCACGGCUAACUACGUGCCAGCAGCCGCGGUAAUAC